UUGCUGUGAGUUUUGGGAUGCUGUGUGUUCUACAAGUCACUCUCAACAUCUCCCUGAGACCAGUCUAUAACAGAGGCAUCACCAAAGUGACUGCAGAGAGAGACCAGCUACAGACCAGUUACAACAACCUGACUAAAGAGAGAGACCAGAUACAAAAGGAGAGAGAUGAUCUCAAGAGAAAGUUCUCUAAUCUGAAACAAACCUAUCCUGAAGGCUGGCAGAAGUUUGGAUCCAGUUGGUACUUCAUCUCUACUGAGACUAAAACCUGGAGGGAGAGCAGACAGGACUGUCUGGAGAGAGGAGCAG